AGAGAACUGGUGAUCCUAACAUGGUCCCACGUGAUGUGGAGAGAGCUGAUCCUGAGACCACGCUUUGAGGAUGACUCUGCUGAGGCCCCACUAGACCCUGGCUGGAAAUAGAGUUGUGCCACUGUGGCUGCCACCGUCUGUCACACACACGCGAGUGGAGAGUUGACAAUGAAGCUACACUGCAGAGAAGGCAGAUCAAGAAGGCUCUGCUGUCCCCACCGCUGCCCUUGACCUCCAGAAAGCUGACUAGCAGACCACUGGAAGCUCCUACAAGAGGGAACCAUGACACAAUGACGCACAGAAAUCACGUGGGCAACUUUCGAGGGAGCAGAAGCUGGUGUCAGCUCUGAAAAGCACUAUGAUGCCCUGUCUGAGAGUCAGCAGUCAGGAGAGCAUCCAGACAGACCAGGGCAAAGUGGACAGCGUCUCCAUCCCCAAACAUCAUGGAAUGAAAAGGGGAAAGCCUUUCCACAAAGGAACUGCAGCUCUAAGAGAGACUCAGCCAGAGAAAAGAGACGAUACAUAGCAGGUUUGCUUCCUAAAGUCUGUCCUCAAA